GAGUUUGAUCGUGGCUCAGAAUGAACGCUGGCGGCGUGCCUAACACAUGCAAGUCGAGCGGUAAGGCCCCUUCGGGGGUACACGAGCGGCGAACGGGUGAGUAACACGUGGGUAACCUACCCAGAAGUGAGGGAUAGCCUCGGGAAACCGGGGGGUAAUACCGCAUGUGUCCUGGUCGGCGGAAGCUGGUCAGGAGAAAGAUGGGGAUCCUUCGGGACCUGUCGCUUCUGGAUGGGCCCGCGGCCGAUUAGCUAGUUGGUGAGGUAAUGGCUCACCAAGGCGACGAUCGGUAGCCGGCCUGACGAGGGUGAUCGGCCACACUGGGACUGAGACACGGCCCAGACUCCUACGGAGGCAGCAGUGGGAAUAUGGGCAAUGGGCGCAAGCCUGACCCAGCGACGCCGCGUGGGGAUGAAGGCCUCGGUU
rnacentral:rRNA from 1 species